AAGCCCACUUCGGGAAACCAGUUUUCCUCUUUAGAUAUUCAGGAUUAUGCAUUUCAAAUGCUGGACAGUAAAGUGUCUAACGAUUCCCUACUUCAUAUUAUAGUCCCUUCAGACCUUCUGCCAAAUAUAACAUUACAUUGUACACAGUACUCUGAGUCUGCUUUAGUGAUAGUGAUAUUUCUAAGGGUGGCUCAAACCCCCUGUAUCACAGAACUGGGUGGUCUCUCGGAGAGACCUCACCCCAAACCUGCCUGCGGAGUUCUGGGAAGAUGGAGAUACUCCCCGCAUUUUGAGUUACUUGGGAUGGUAAUAAGAAGGCUAACGUUUUAUAUACAUCAUAGCGUCACAAGAAGAUUUCUUCUACGUAACUGCUUUACACAUCCAGAGAGGGCUGAGUUUGUCGUUAUUACUUCCCAAAGAUUAUUUUUUUUUAGAUCUGCAGGGACAUGUCCUACUUUACAGCUUUCCCAGGCAACGUUUCAGGUACAAGUGUGAGCUUUAGUAAAACCUUAACACCGCUUUCACUCACCCACUGGUGAGUUAUUCAUCGACGCCUUGCCCAAGUUACACAAUAUGACAAGACGCCAUAACGGAAACGAGGAGCUACUUCCCAGUGAUGCAUGCCCUCUGACUUUGAAAGACCACAACUGCGGGCGUCCAGUAGGUAAACCUAACCCUUGUGUUCUGGGAUGACAGCCUAAGGAUCUUGCAGAGUUACAGAUACAGCUGGAUCUAUUGGCAGACACACUUGCUGACGGGGCCACAUUAUCAAUGAGAUCGGGUCUGAACCAGGCUGAUGACUGUGCAGGCCUGUGAAUGGAGGAGUCCAUGCGGAACAUCAUCAGCCCACGGGAGAAUGAUCCUGUCUGACAAGCCGCAGAACGACAGGCCAGAAACAAAUCGGGGAAUAAAAACUGCUGGAAGCAAACGCUGAGUUUAACGGAACCACUACCGUGCGGGGAUUAUCGUUCCGAAGAGUAGGACGUCCGUCGGAGUUUGCCAACCUUAGCGACGCAUCUCAAGCGCUGCCCUGCUAAUAAUGGUCUUGGACUUGGGACAGAUCUGGCCAAACCAGCAGACGGCUGUCUUUUUAUGCAGAGAUAAUUACUACUGUAGCUUAGAAAGUGUUGCGUCUUUCAGACACCGUUAGCUGUAAUUCGAUUGUUUUUCAAAUAAUGUAGCCUAACACAGAAAGUUAAUAAAAAAUACUCUAAAACGCUCCCA